UAACAGCUCAAAUUUGAAAUCUGGCUCCUUUGGGGCCCCGAGUUGUAAUUUGUAGAAGAUGCUUUGGGUGUGGGCCUGGCCUAAGUUCCUUGGAACAGGACGUCGUAGAGGGUGAGAAUCCCGUAUGCGGCUGGCGCCCGCGCCCGUGUAAAGCUCUUUCGACGAGUCGAGUUGUUUGGGAAUGCAGCUCUAAAUGGGUGGUAAAUUUCAUCUAAAGCUAAAUAUUGGCCAGAGACCGAUAGCGCACAAGUAGAGUGAUCGAAAGAUGAAAAGCACUUUGGAAAGAGAGUUAAACAGUACGUGAAAUUGUUGAAAGGGAAGCGCUGGCAACCAGACUUGGGCGCUGUUGAUCCGUCAGGGUUCUCCCUGGGGCACUCGGCAGCGCGCAGGCCAGCAUCGGUUUGGGGGGUUGGAGAAAGACUGGUGGAAUGUGGCUGCCCUCGGGCAGUGUUAUAGCCACCGGUGGCAUGCAGCCUCCCCGGACCGAGGACCGCGCUUCGGCUAGGAUGCUGGCGUAAUGGUUGUCAGCGACCCGUCUUGAAACACGGACCAAGGAGUCUAACAUCUAUGCGAGUGUUUGGGUGUCAAACCCAUACGCGGAAUGAAAGUGAACGUAGGUGAGAACCCGCAAGGGUGCAUCAUCGACCGAUCCUGAUGUCUUCGGAUGGAUU
rnacentral:rRNA from 1 species